CCUCCUUUGACAGGUUUGUCCCGUUUAUGGAGGAUUGAUUUACGUGACACUGGUAUGUUAGAAAUUCCCCAGAGUAUUUGGGAUUUAGUGUUAUUGUCACAUUUACAUUUAGGUGGAAACAAUUUUGAGAGCAUACCUGCAAGCAUUAAACAACUACCUAAGUUGAAAUGUCUUGGAUUAAAUGAUUGCAAGAGACUUAAA
rnacentral:misc_RNA from 1 species